UGCGUAGGUGGUUUAACAAGUUGGUAGUGAAAUUCCGAGGCUUAACUUCGGCGCUACUGCCAAGACUGUUGAACUUGAGUACAGGAGAGGUAAGUGGAAUUCCUAGUGUAGCGGUGGAAUGCGUAGAUAUUAGGAGGAACACCAGUGGCGAAGGCGACUUACUGGCCUGCAACUGACACUGAGGCACGAAAGCGUGGGGAGCAAACA
rnacentral:rRNA from 1 species